rnacentral:rRNA from 1 species
AUUGAACGCUGGCGGCAGGCCUAACACAUGCAAGUCGAGCGGAUGAAGGGAGCUUGCUCCUGGAUUCAGCGGCGGACGGGUGAGUAAUGCCUAGGAAUCUGCCUGGUAGUGGGGGAUAACGUCCGGAAACGGGCGCUAAUACCGCAUACGUCCUGAGGGAGAAAGUGGGGGAUCUUUGGACCUCACGCUAUCAGAUGAGCCUAGGUCGGAUUAGCUAGUUGGUGGGGUAAAGGCCUACCGAGGCGACGAUCCGCAACUGAUCUGAGAGGAUGAUCGGUCACACUGGAACUGAGACACGGUCCAGGCUCCUACGGGAGGCAGCAGUGGGGAAUAUUGGACAAUGGGCGAGAGCCUGAUCCAGCCAUGCCGCGUGUGUGAAGAAGGUCUUCGGAUUGGGAAGCACUUUAAGUUGGGAGGAAGGGCAGUAAGUUAAUACCUUGCUGUUUUGACGUUACCAACAGAAUAAGCACCGGCUAACUUCGUG